GUGCCUUCUUCACUUUUAGGUUUUCGCCAUCUUAGGUUUCCCCUUUUACAAGUUGACACAACUUACUUCUCUUCAAAACAAACCUGCGCACCAUCAAGAUCUGCCUUCUCCCCCAUCUUCUCUCUGGUCUCUCACACCUCCGGUCGACGGAGGAGGGAUUGCAGCGCCGGUAUACUCGGUCAGGCGAGACGCACACACCCCCACCGCCUUCGUUUUCCUCUCUCUCGCACACUGUUUUCGGCCGGAGAGUGGCAGAGCGGACGGUGCUCCGGCAAUGGCGUAGCGGCGAUGGUGAAUUUGACGGUGGUUCAGUGACGGAGACCCUCCAAAUCGACCCUUCUGAACCUACUUCUGGUAGUCGCUGAAGGUAACAUGGCUCAAGUCAACAAACUCAGGUCGCCAAUUGGCUUCUUUCCGAUUUAACCACCAUCCUCAUCGGAUGAACCGACGGUAGCCACCCUCGACAACUUAGGUAACUCUGACAACAAGUUUUCCAUCCUCUUUUUAUUUAUGAUGUAUUUUCUUUUUAUUUUAAUUUUUAUUGAUGCUUGACGUGAUGAAAAAACAGGUAAUAUAAUAUAAUCUAAUAGUCCAUUUGAUUAUGUUGAGACAGAGGCUCGAACAGAGAACUGUAUGAUGUACUUCAUGUGUCUCCUGAAGCUUCCAAUGAAGAAAUCCGUAAAGCUUAUCAUCAGUGGGCGCAAAUUUAUCAUCCUGAUAAGUAUCAGGAUCAACAGAUGAAG
rnacentral:lncRNA from 1 species